CAGUACAACAAAUCAAUGGCCUCCUGGACCUGCACGCUAAAGAGGGAGGGAUAUUUGCAUAACGAUCAUGGUAAUCACAACCUUUGAUUAUAUAGAAGGUGACAUAAUGGCUAUCUUGGACGUAUUUUAUGCUGGGUUCGCUAUCCCCACUACUGCAAUCCAAUUCUUCAAAUAAAAUACAAUCAGCUGUGCCAUCCGCAACCCGACGUCUCCGACCAAGAUUUUCUGGAUUCAAAGGAAGCCAACACAUUCUUGUUCAAACAAGGAAUCGGAAAGAGAUUGAGGGAUGCACCAAGGAGGAAAUUUAUGAAGUCUGCUAAAUUAAUGAGACACCAAUGCGGAUUAAGCUGACUUCUUACCGUCGGCAUAUUCAACCUUACAAAAUAUAUUGGUUCCCUCGUAUAUCGAGAUAUAAUAAAAAUAACAAGAAAUUUUUAUUUAAAUGGCGCUUUCCAUAACAAGAGUUAUAUCAAAGCGCUUUACAGAACGAAAUACUAUUACUACAAGAAGACCCUCCCCCCAAAAAAAAGAAAAAGAAACUUAACCAAAAAGAAGAAAUCUCCUGCUGGAAUUCUCUCCAAACAAAUUACUCAUUGUAGAAAAACAUAUAAACAAACCAAACUAGAAAAAUUCAAGACAUUUUUUUCAAGAAAGUUAGCUUUCAAAUGUUUUUGAAAGGUAUCAAAAAAGGGUUCAGAACGCAAAGAGACUGGAUGACAAUUCCAUAAGUGAGGAGCACUACUAGAAAAGGUUUUGUCACCAUAAGCCUUCGUUUUGCUUCUCUCAACUUGCAGAACGUUUUGAGAGGCGGAGCUGAGGAAUCUGGUAGGUACAUAAGGAGAAAUAAGGUCAGACAAGUAUAUGACAAGUAUAUACGAGAUAUAAUUAGUGGUGGUUUUCGUCUUUGAAAUAAAUAUCAAGUAUUAUGCCAUUUGCUUCCUAUUUAGAUUCGUGAACAUUCGAUAUGGAGCUCCUAGUUUUUAUCUAUUUUUAGUUCCUAUUGUUUUUGGAAGGGACUCUGUACCGAAGCCUCAGAUGUCUCAAAACAAUCUGGAUCUUGAUCCGCACAACAAAAAUACAUCUGCAAAGUUUUGGCCCAACCAAAUGAAUCAAGCCCCCCCCCCCGCGGGGACCGAAAUAGAACCUCAGCGCUUAGAACAUUCCUGUUGGGUACUUAAAGGUUAAAAGAGAUUACUGCAAGACACAACAGCUUCCCUUUCAAACUAAUACAACUUUCCUGUUAAAACAACUCUGUUUGCUUGAUUGCUUAUACGCUGACGGCUGCUCUGUAAUUUGAGGGAAAGUGUUAUGUAAGACUAAACAUUUCAAAAAUAAGAAUGACCUCUCCCUGUAAUGCACAGAUGUGAAAUCUUAAAAAUGUGACAAAGCAGCAAACAAUAAAAAAUACGUUUCAGUACUACAA